AUUUCAUUCCAUCAUGCUGCUCUGUGCACUUGUAAUAUUAUCAGUACUUGCAGGUGAGACUUGAUUAUUUUAUUUAAUAACAAACAUUUUUUAAUUAGAACUGUUGUAAUUACAUUUAUCUGAUCGCAAUAUUGAAUUUAUUAUGUCUUUUUUUCAGGAGUGUCUCUUGGUGAUCUAAUAACGUCUCAUGACUCUGAAAAACGAGCUCAAGAUGGUAACAGUGUUGCUCUCUACUGUAACUACACUGGUGCUGUGUAUAAUCUACUGUGGUAUCGUCAGUAUCAAAGAUCCAGACCAGAACUCCUUCUCUCCAUGAGUGAAUCUGGAGAUCCAGUUAAAGCCGAUCCAUCAGCGCACUGGUUAUCAGCUAAAGUUGACAAACACAGAAAGCUCAUGGAACUGGAAAUCAGCCCUGCUAAAGUAUCAGACUCUGUACAGUAUUACUGUGCUCUGCAGCCCACAGUGACAGGAAAACCUGUUUUCCCCUACACAAAGUCUUUUUGCAAAUUAGUCAUGCUUCUCAUUCAUUGAUGUCUAACAAGCACAUGUAUUCUACAGUACAGUAUGUAUUAUUUCUGUGACUGCAUCAGCCAUUAGUACAGCAUCUCUUAAUGAGUCCACAACGAUCAAUAGAACACAUAUUUCCAUAGAUAGGCGGAGCUUAUGGUGGAUUAGAGCAGAAGAGCACAAAGAGGCUCAACACACCUACUUAUAGACCAUUCAAUAUAAUUUACAAACAACAAUGAUCAUCAUCUGCUUUGUUUUACCAUUUGUCUUGAGUUAUGGUGAAGCUAAUAAGAGUCCUAUCAGUCCAGAUAAAGCAUCUGUGUCUUUAAAUGAAGACAAUAAUGCUACUCUGUCCUGUAAAAUUGAUGAAUCAGGUUACCGUCUCUAUUGGUAUCGACAGAAGACUGGAUUGAAGUUUUUGGUGCUGAUUGAUAAAACCACCAAAUUUGUAAUGCCCGCUACUCCACCUCUUCCACAUAUGUCCACCAGUCUCCAUAAUAACAACCGUGUGGAUCUGAUCAUCUCCUCUGCUGCUGUAUCAGACUCUGCUCUGUAUUACUGUGCUCUGGAGCCCACAGUGACAGGAAAGUCUGCAACACUGUACAAAAUCCAAGUUUUGAUGAUUCAUUUAAAUUAAUACAUUUCUUGUUAUAAGGCUUUUGCAUGUACAGUAUACAGUCCUCCUUGAUUCUCUGUUUAUACUGCAUUUCAUCAAUCAUAAUUUAACUGCACAUGAUGAAAACCAACAGAACUAGUUUAAAUGUCAGAAUUGUAGACUGCGAGUAAACUAAUAACUAAU
rnacentral:lncRNA from 1 species